UGGGGAAUUUUGGACAAUGGGCGAAAGCCUGAUCCAGCCAUCCCGCGUGUGCGAUGAAGGCCUUCGGGUUGUAAAGCACUUUUGGCAGGAAAGAAACGUCGUGGGUUAAUACCCCGCGAAACUGACGGUACCUGCAGAAUAAGCACCGGCUAACUACGUGCCAGCAGCCGCGGUAAUACGUAGGGUGCAAGCGUUAAUCGGAAUUACUGGGCGUAAAGCGUGCGCAGGCGGUUCGGAAAGAAAGAUGUGAAAUCCCAGAGCUUAACUUUGGAACUGCAUUUUUAACUACCGGGCUAGAGUGUGUCAGAGGGAGGUGGAAUUCCGCGUGUAGCAGUGAAAUGCGUAGAUAUGCGGAGGAACACCGAUGGCGAAGGCAGCCUCCUGGGAUAACACUGACGCUCAUGCACGAAAGCGUGGGGAGCAAACAGGAUUAGAUACCCUGGUAGUCCACGCCCUAAACGAUGUCAACUAGCUGUUGGGGUCUUCGGACCUUGGUAGCGCAGCUAACGCGUGAAGUUGACCGCCUGGGGAGUACGGUCGCAAGAUUAAAACUUAAAUGAAUUGAC
rnacentral:rRNA from 1 species